GGAUAGAUGACCGAGAGGCCUAUGGUACAGCAUUGCUAAUGCUGCGUACGGGUAACCGUACCGAGGGUUCGAAUCCCUCUCUAUCCG
rnacentral:tRNA from 1 species